rnacentral:rRNA from 1 species
UAAUGGAAUGAUUACAUCAUUAAUGCAUCAUAUCCCAUUAGAACUUUGUAGUUAAGCACACUUGGGAUAUUAUAGUACUGGGAUAGGUGACCUCCUAGGAAGUCCUCAUAUUUUACAUGUG